rnacentral:rRNA from 1 species
GCUACCACUUACAGAUGGACCCGCGGCGCAUUAGCUAGUUGGUGAGGUAACGGCUCACCAAGGGAACCAAGGCGUACCCGACCUGAGAGGGUGAUCGGCCACACUGGGACUGAGACACGGCCCAGACUCCUACGGGAGGCAGCAGUAGGGAAUCUUUCCGCAAUGGGACGAAAAGUCUGACGGAGCAACGCCGCGUGAGUGAUGAAAGGUUUUCGGGAUCGUAAAGCUCUGUUCGUUAGGGAAGAACAAGUACCGUUCGAAUUAGGGGGGGUACCUUUGACGGGUACCUAAACCAGAAAAGCCCACGGCUAAACUACGUGCCAGCAGCCCGCGGUAAAUACGUAGGUGGGCAAGCCGUUGGUCCGGGAAUUUAUUGGGGCCGUAAAGGGCUCGCAGGGCGGUUUCUUAAGUUCUGAUGGUGAAAGCCCCCGGCUCACCCGGGGGGAGGGGUCAUUGGAAACUGGGGAACUUG